CCCAGGGGACGGGGAGGCUGGGGCGAGGGCAGAAAGUAAGCCAAGUGAAAGCCCCCAACACAGAUUGUAAGACUGAAGGAACGGAGAAGUGGCCCGGUCUCACUGGAGGAACCUGACUCGAGCCAAAUAAGGAAGAGAACGGCAAAGGAAGAGAACGGCAAAUGUCACUCAAAUGAUUCAACGGGAAGUCCCUAGCCACGGGUCCCGCCUAAAACAUGCGUCACAGUACUCUCUCCCCAGCAAUCCAGCAUGACCAGUCAUGGGUGAUCAUGCCCUCAGAGAUCUCCCAGCGCCCUUAAUAAGCCUGUCACCCCUCCUACUGGGCGCGACUUCCCUGGCCCCUGACAGACCAGCGAACUUCCCCCAGGACUGCGCUAAUAAAUUUUUUUUGGCUCCUUUGUU